CGUGUAGGCGGGUAGACAAGUCAGAUGUGAAAUACCGGGGCUCAACUCCGGGGCUGCAUUUGAAACUGUAUAUCUUGAGUGUCGGAGAGGAAAGCGGAAUUCCUAGUGUAGCGGUGAAAUGCGUAGAUAUUAGGAGGAACACCAGUGGCGAAGGCGGCUUACUGGACGGUAACUGACGUUGAGGCUCGAAAGCGUGGGGAGCAAACA
rnacentral:rRNA from 1 species